GGGCGGUUAGCUCAGCUGGGAGAGCGUCGGCCUUACAAGCCGAGGGUCAUAGGUUCGAUCCCUGUACCGCCCACCA
rnacentral:tRNA from 6 species